rnacentral:rRNA from 1 species
GGAAGUAAAAGUCGUAACAAGGUCUCCGUAGGUGAACCUGCGGAGGGAUCAUUACACAAAUUAAAAUAUGAAGGCUUCGGCUGGAUUAUUUUUAUCACCCUUGUCUUUUGCGCACUUGUUGUUUCCUGGGCGGGUUCGCCCGCCACCAGGACCACACCAUAAACCUUUUUUAUGCAGUUGCAAUCAGCGUCAGUAUAACAAAUGUAAAUCAUUUACAACUUUCAACAACGGAUCUCUUGGUUCUGGCAUCGAUGAAGAACGCAGCGAAAUGCGAUACGUAGUGUGAAUUGCAGAAUUCAGUGAAUCAUCGAAUCUUUGAACGCACAUUGCGCCCUUUGGUAUUCCAAAGGGCAUGCCUGUUCGAGCGUCAUUUGUACCUUCAAGCUUUGCUUGGUGUUGGGCGUCUUUUUGUCUUUGGCCUCGCCCAAAGACUCGCCUUAAAACGAUUGGCAGCCGGCCUACUGGUUUCGCAGCGCAGCACAUUUUUGCGCUUGCAAUCAGCAAAAAGGACGGCAAUCCAUCAAGACUACAUUUUUACGUUUGACCUCGGAUCAGGUAGGGAUACCCGCUGAACUUAAGCAUAUCAAUAAGCGGAGGA